rnacentral:rRNA from 1 species
GCUCGUGUCGUGAGAUGUUGGUUAAGGUCCCGCAACGAGCGCAACCCUUUGUCAUUAGUUUGCUACAUUCAGUUUGGGCACUCUAAUGAGACUGCCGGUGACAAGCCGGAGGAGUGGGGAUGACGUCAAGUCCUCAUGGCCCUUAUAGGUGGGGCUACACACGUCAUACAAUGGCUGGUACAAAGGGUUGCCAACCCGCGAGGGGGAGCCAAUCCCAUAAAGCCAGUCGUAGUCCGGAUCAUAGUCUGCAACUCGACUACGUGAAGUCGGAAUCGCUAGUAAUCGUGGAUCAGAAUGUCACGGUGAAUACGUUCCCGGGUCUU